GGUGACGGUAAUGGGUAAAGAAGCACCGGCUAACUACGUGCCAGCAGCCGCGGUGAUACGUAGGGUGCGAGCGUUGUCCGGAUUUAUUGGGCGUAAAGGGCUCGUAGGUGGUUGAUCGCGUCGGAAGUGUAAUCUUGGGGCUUAACCCUGAGCGUGCUUUCGAUACGGGUUGACUUGAGGAAGGUAGGGGAGAAUGGAAUUCCUGGUGGAGCGGUGGAAUGCGCAGAUAUCAGGAGGAACACCAGUGGCGAAGGCGUUUCU
rnacentral:rRNA from 14 species